GACGAACGCUGGCGGCGUGCCUAAUACAUGCAAGUAGAACGCUGAAGGAGGAGCUUGCUCUUCUGGAUGAGUUGCGAACGGGUGAGUAACGCGUAGGUAACCUGCCUGGUAGCGGGGGAUAACUAUUGGAAACGAUAGCUAAUACCGCAUAACAGUAGAUGUUGCAUGACAUUUACUUAAAAGGUGCAAUUGCAUCACUACCAGAUGGACCUGCGUUGUAUUAGCUAGUUGGUGGGGUGACGGCUCACCAAGGCGACGAUACAUAGCCGACCUGAGAGGGUGAUCGGCUACACUGGGACUGAGACACGGCCCAGACUCCUACGGGGGGCAGCAGUAGGGAAUCUUCGGGAAUGGACGGAAGUCUGACCGAGCAACGCCGCGUGGGUGGAGAAGGUUUUCGGAUCGUAAAGCUCUGUUGUAAGGGAAGAACGAGUGUGAGAGUGGAAAGUUCACACUGUGACGGUAUCUUACCAGAAAGGGACGGCUAACUACGUG
rnacentral:rRNA from 1 species